rnacentral:lncRNA from 7 species
GCUGCUGAAUGGAUCAGUCUUUAAAUGGGUUGCACUGUGUGAGCAGUGAAUGCAAAGAAUGCACAACUUUUGGUUAAUUACACUUGGUGUGGCUUGUCUUAUUACCAACAAUCUGACCUCAAAAUGGAAGGUUUAAUGUUCUGCAAGUCAAAUGACUUCCUGAUGGGAGGUGCCAAUUUUUUUCUUUCCUCUGUGACUCUCACUGGAAAGGCUUUUGAGUAUGUUGUGCUAAGGACGACCAGCUUACAAUGCUACAUCUCCCUACACUGGUAGAUGUGCAGAUGACGAAGUGAACUUGUCUCAACCAUACCAAACCAUCAGUUUUUAGAGUUUCCAAUAAAAUGCCCAGAGCCGUUGAAAUGUAAUGGAUGCUCUGAGUGCUGCUGCUGGUAUCUGACAGACUCCAUGCACUGAAAGCUUGUCGGCAUCUGAGGGAAAAUGGAGCUCUUAGAAGCUCCGGUUCAGACAGACCCACCCAAGCCAGAGCUUGACUGACUUUAUUACACCAUUCUUGGCUGAGCUUUCUAGAUGUAGGAAGGAACCACUCACUGAUCCUGGAGCAUGAAAUAUGAGCACAGCUGUUUUUUUUUUUUUCUUCCUACUGCUUCUGCUUGGAGCCAAAGCAACACUGUCCUAACUCAUGAUUUAUGAUUGUUCUUUAUAGCAAUAAAUAAAUAAUAAAAGUAAAUAGAAGCUUUCU